UCCGUUGAUUUUUUUUACGUCUUCUGAGCUGAUUUUCUUUUUAUGUCGACAUUGGUCAAAUAUUACAAGUCUAUAAUUCUUUCUCCUUCUUUUCACUGAUGAGUCUUUAGUUGCUAAUUUAACUAUUCUUAUUUUUGCUGGAGUAAAUGACAUAAAAAACGCACUCACAGUCCUCCCUUUGUCCUAUUUUACGUAUUUGCCCUGGAAACCAGACCAGAAACAUUUGUUGUGUUUUUGCAUAUUUAAAACAAAAUGAACGGUGGGGUUUGGCUAUUAGUCUCCAACAAACACAACAAGGUCACUGGAGUUUCUUUCAUUUGUUAUUCUAAGCUGGCUGUCAUGAGGCUGAUUCCAGCCAUGAUGAUGAAUAAUGAGUUUUUGGUUUUUGGUCACAGCUGGACAGAAGUGAAUAAAGAGGCUAAUUAGGGAGGACAGCAACAGUUAAAGUUUAGAUUUUGGGGGUUGAAAACACUUGAAGGUAUUCCCUGGAUGAAUCCUGCUGAAUGUUGCCGCUUUGUCUCCCCACUUGGCCGCGUUUAAACGUCUCCUGCUGCAGGUGAAGCCCAGAUUUUCUGCUUCAGGAUUCAGCCGGACUCGGAGCUUUGCAGGAAGCAUUCGAUCUCAAUCCCGUCUCCUGUCUCUGCUUGAUAGGCCCAGUCGGAGCAGCGGUGGCGGCUUACCUGGGCGCUGCGCUCUGGACCGCCGCCUAAUCAUCUGGCCUCAAGUCAGGCAGGACAGCUGAGUCCUGAAAGGACCCACCGCAUCCGCACCGCUGCAGGAAGACGAGGAGGAGGAUGAAGGAGCAGGAAGUAAUCGCUCUCCUCGUCUGACGGGAUGUGCAUAACGACCCGGCGUCCUGCGCUGGCCAGGAGCGGCGGCGACGUUCUGCAGGAUUGGAAACGUUGAUGUCUGAUCGGUAAUGAUGAUGGCGAUGACAACCUGGCGCACGGCGGCGGCGCGGGAGAGCAGACGACUCUCACAGAUGGUGGAGGAACUUAAAGGUUGGGCUGUUGGUUGCCGUGUUUGUUCUGCUCUCCUCCUGGACCAAUCGCGCGGCUCCGGAGCCCCUCUGAGUUGAUUAACCGCGCCGGCUUGCCAGCAGCUUCCCUGAUUGUGAUUACCUUCUGUGUUUUCUAAUUUGGACCCGGCUUGAUGUGGUUCUAAGUCUGAGCGCUUGACAUUCCCUCGAACGGGCCACAAAAUCCGUCAUUAGCCGCUGCAUGCGCGGCUCCUGCUCCUAUUGUCUUUGUCUCAUUUAAUGCUUGUCUCGUGUGAAAUGAACUAUCAGGCCACCAAGAGCACUUAUGAUAAAAAAUGAUGGUGGGAAUCCUGAAAUAUGGAGCUUUAUGGGAGCCAGAGCCUACUUCUACAAGGUUAAUGAACUCUCACUAACUUUAAUAGUCUGUUUUCCGACUCAUGCAUCUUCAUAAAAGCGCCCUUCCCCAAAGUCUGCAGGCGAGGGGUGCCAUUUCAAACAGCUGUGCCAGGCGAGCCAAAUGAAAGGAACCUCAUGAUGAAUCGCAUCCUCCUUCCUUCCAUUUCUGCGCCGUUCACCUCACCUGGCAAACUGUCGGAGGAUUACCUUCAUUCCCCCUUGAUGCCGAGAUGUAAGCGAACGGAGAGGAUGGGUGGGGGAGCGACGUUAAGUUCCUAAUCACCUGGACCGAACGAGGGCGCGGAGGGGAGGCGGAGUCCCAGGGGUGGCAUUAAAGCGCGAGCAGCCGGGGUUGGAGCUCCAGGCUCGCUCGCAGGUCUGCAGAUACACAAAGGCUCACAUUUUAUCUGCUGCCUGUGUGUGGAGGCAGGCUCAGGCUGAGGACCCCCAGAUACAAACAUGGAAAACAUGAAGUUUGUUCACUUUGUGGUGAUUUUUAUUCCCUCGUUUGUGUUUAAAGCUUUAAAAAGUUUGAUUUUAUCUGAAACAGCAGCAGUUAAAAAUGAGCUAUAUAUGCUAAAUCAGACUUAACAAACAGCGUCCUUAAGUAAAAGUACUAACAAAAAUGUUCUCUAGCAAAAGUACUUGCUUUUAAAAAUCCUUAAAGUGCUUGUUGAAUGUAUUCCAGGAUCAUUAAAUGUGUUUUGCCACCUGA